rnacentral:rRNA from 1 species
AUUGAACGCUGGCGGCAGGCUUAACACAUGCAAGUCGAGCGGUAACAGAGAGAAGCUUGCUUCUCUGCUGACGAGCGGCGGACGGGUGAGUAACGCCUAGGAAUCUGCCUAGUAGUGGGGGAUAACUUGCCGAAAGGUAAGCUAAUACCGCAUACGUCCUACGGGAGAAAGGAGGGGACCUUCGGGCCUUUCGCUAUUAGAUGAGCCUAGGUCGGAUUAGUUAGUUGGUGAGGUAAUGGCUCACCAAGACCGCGAUCCGUAACUGGUCUGAGAGGAUGAUCAGUCACACUGGAACUGAGACACGGUCCAGACUCCUACGGGAGGCAGCAGUGGGGAAUAUAGGACAAUGGGGGGAACCCUGAUCCAGCCAUGCCGCGUGUGUGAAGAAGGUCUUAGGAUUGUAAAGCACUUUAAGUUGGGAGGAAGAGCAGUUAACUAAUAUUUGACUGUUUUGACGUUACCGACAGAACAAGCACCGGCUAACUCCGUGCCAGCAGCCGCCGCAG